GUGGGGCGCUCUACGCUUGGCUGGGGUGGAAGUGAAAGGCCCCCCAGCCAGAGGCAGCGUUUCCUACAGUGCUCAGGCUUCUGGGAGGGGAGGCUUUCUUCACCUCCUUCCUGUCGGCCUUCAAUCAGCUGCCUUUUCAGGAGAAUGAAGGCUAAGGAAUCUGAAGACCACUGGACAAAUGAGACAUCUGAAGAAAAAGGACAAAUCAUCCAGAAAAAAAUGUCCCAAGAAAAAGAGUAAAUUGACCUAUUGGUAUAUCACAUAUCUAACAGGAUAAAAUUUCUUAAGUCUUCCUAAAUGUUUGUUUCUGCUUUUCUCUACAGACACAUAACACAAAUGGUCUUUAUGUAGUCCCAGUUCAAUUAAAAAUUAAAGCUGGCUUUGGAGUCGGA